rnacentral:rRNA from 1 species
AUUGAACGCUGGCGGAAUGCUUUACACAUGCAAGUCGAGCGGCAGCGCGGGGCAACCUGGCGGCGAGCGGCGAACGGGUGAGUAAUGCAUCGGAACGUACCCAGUCGUGGGGGAUAACUGUCCGAAAGGACAGCUAAUACCGCAUACGUCCUGAGGGAGAAAGCGGGGGAUCGCAAGACCUCGCGCGAUUGGAGCGGCCGAUGCCGGAUUAGCUAGUUGGUAGGGUAAAGGCCUACCAAGGCGACGAUCCGUAGCUGGUCUGAGAGGACGACCAGCCACACUGGAACUGAGACACGGUCCAGACUCCUACGGGAGGCAGCAGUGGGGAAUUUUGGACAAUGGGGGCAACCCUGAUCCAGCCAUUCCGCGUGAGUGAAGAAGGCCUUGGUCGUAAGACUCUGUGGGAGGAAAGAAGUAAGGGUAAGGUUAAGUAAUCCUGCCUGAUGACGGUACCUCCUUACG